AUUUAUAUAGCUUAUAAAGAGUAUAAUAUUGAAGAUAUUAAGGAAUUAUUUUAAUUAUAAAUA
rnacentral:tRNA from 1 species